AUUCCGACAGUUAUUGGAGUACUAGAUUGAGUGAGCAGGAAGCUAGAAGAAGUUGGUUAAAGAAUGGGAAGCUCAAACUUGGAUCAUGAAAGGUUUUCAGAUACUGGUAAUGUCAAAGACUGGAGUAUAACCAUGUUGCAAUAAAAAUAAUUGACAAAACUCAGUUGAAUCCAACAAGUCUGCAAAAGUAGAGACGGGGUUUCACCGUGUUAUCCAGGAUGGUCUCGAUCUCCUGACCUCGUGAUCCACCCACCUUGGCUUCCCAAAGUGCUGGGAUUACAGCUCUUCAGAGAAGUAAGAAUAAUGAAGAUUUUAAAUCAUCCCAAUAUAGUGAAGUUAUUCGAAGUCAUUGAAACUGAAAAAACACUCUACCUAAUCAUGGAAUAUGCAAGUGGAGGUGAAGUAUUUGACUAUUUGGUUGCACAUGGCAGG
rnacentral:sRNA from 1 species